CUCUGGACAUCUCCUCUUGUUCCAAAUGGUGCAGUCACACAGUACAGUGUCUAUCUACAGUAGAUGGCCAUCUCUAUGAGUCUGCUAGCAAUGGAACCGGAUCACUGGAAGUGGGAGGACUCUUGCCAUGCACUGUACACAGUAUACUGUUAAACUAGAAUGGACGUCACCUGCUAAGCCCAAUGGCAUUCUGGGAGGAUAUGACGUGUGGCAGACUCUGCAGCAGUUCGAGAAGCUGCAGACCCAGCAGGCGUAUGCUCCUCAGGCUCACUGCUCGUACCUGGAGUGCCCUGCAGAACAAGACUAUAAGACUAUGCUAUAAGCCUGAGACACAGGUAUGCUGUGCAGGGACUGUUCACAGUCUAAAUCAUUCUCAUCAGUGUUGUGAAGAGAGUUAUGUUCCAGCUCUGGGAGUGUGUGUUGUGGAGGUCAGUUUGUCCAGCCUCUGUCUCAACACCAGUGUUGUGGAGGAUAUUACGUACUUGUCCCACCAGUUAUUUACUGCAUUGAGCAAGUUAGGCUGCAUAAUAUAUACGUAAAAUAUACGUCACAAUAUUUCUUCCUUUUUUUAAACAUUCUUUUGUUUUACAUUACAUACUUUAGUUAAUUGUUCUAUAUGUGUUCGAAGGAGAGGUCUGUUGUCCGGACUCUGAGGAACGGUGUGUAUCUGUAGGUCUCGGGGACUCAUGCUGUGGUGGGAGUCCUUUCAUGUCUGGAGCCGGGCAGAUCUGCUGUGGGGGGGCGUCUUUAUGAUGGCUUCAGCUCCCAGUGCAGUGGAGGACAGCUAGUUCCUAGAGAGACAGUGCUCUGACCAAGGGAUGCCCCAUAAACAUGUAUCAGGAUUCAUCUGCUGUGGAGAGCACUAACACAUCCACUUCCUGGUGCUGCAUGGGUCCCGGCAUAGAGUCUAAAGUCCACAUGCUGGAGAACAGGACGGCGUCGCUGAAGUGCUGCUGGUCAGAGGUGAUUGAUCAGGAGGAAGAGUAUAGUAAUGGAGUGGUCUUCAAUCCGCUCACAUCUGUGUGUGCUGACAGAGCCCCAGCCAGCAUCCUCAUCCCGCCUGCUACAGUCCAUCUGUACAUGGGUACCAGGCGAGCCGGUCCCUGCGCAUGUUCCAUCUCCCUCUGCUACUGCUGCCACCCAAACAGAAGGUCCUUCUGCAGCUACCCACAGACAGUUCUGCCCAUCCUCAGAGGAGCU
ensembl:lncRNA